UUGGCACUAUUACAAUGUUCAAAUGUGAUCUUGGAAUUGCUUUAAGAGCAUUUUUCCAAGUCACUUAAUCAAAGAAACGAAAAUUCAACUUAAAACAGUAAAGGUUCCGUGAUAUGUGAUGUACAUAAGCUUAAAAUAAUGCCUAAAACUAAUGUAAAUUGCAAACUGUUGCUGCUGCAGAAUUCCACUCAAAACAGAUUGCCUUUUUCCACUUUUCUGGUGUAUUUUCAGCUGCUGGACAGCAGAGUUGCAGCUGAUCAAAAGCACCUUAUUGGUUCCCACUUCAGCCCCCUUUUCACUUCCUAAAAUGCUACCACCUUAGAUGAAGAAUUCUGCUACUGGAUACCUCUCAAAGAUUACCAUAGCACCUCAAAAUCCAUUUCAAACGCACCAAACAGAGGUUAGAAAACUGCACCAGAAUUCCAAUUCAAUUUGAAGAAUAUGUGACAGUUUGGAGGCCAAUAAU
rnacentral:lncRNA from 1 species